GAGAUGAAUGAAAGGAGAGAAGGUUAGCACUCCCCUUGACAAGGAUGGAAGAGGUCCUAGUGACCUUCAACACAUAUGGUUAAGGGAUUGUCACCUACUUCAUGGCAUCUCUAACCAAGUUUUGU
ensembl:snRNA